rnacentral:rRNA from 1 species
UAUUGGUCAAUGGGUGAGAGCCUGAACCAGCCAUGCCGCGUGCAGGAAGACGGCCUUCUGGGUUGUAAACUGCUUUUAUCUGGGGAUAAAAAGCCCAUGCGUGGGACAUUGAAGGUACCAGAUGAAUAAGCACCGGCUAACUACGUGCCAGCAGCCGCGGUAAUACGUAGGGUGCAAGCGUUGACCGGAUUUAUUGGGUUUAAAGGGUGCGUAGGCGGUCUAUUAAGUCAGUGGUGAAAUCCAACAGCUCAACUGUUGAUGUGCCAAUGAUACUGAUGGACUUGAGUACAGACGAGGUAGGCGGAAUUGACAGUGUAGCGGUGAAAUGCAUAGAUAUUGUCAAGAACACCGAUAGCGAAGGCAGCUUGCUAGCCUGUAACUGACGCUGAGGCACGAAAGUAUGGGGAUCAAACAGG